UUCUUGCAACUUUUAAUCUUCCAUGUAAGCUACUGGGAACGUUUCUAUGGUUACCUCCUAGAAUAUCAGUCUGCCAACAUCAGGUCAUUUCCAUCGUGGAACUUAAAUUCAAGCUGGUCUUUUAGCUGUGCUGAGCUUUAGUACUGAUUUUAGACUCCUGAAGAGCUGGAGGUGUACAACUUAGAUGCUCUGGAAAUCUCUGGAAUUGCUGUCAGGAAGCUGUGGCGUGAACUGAGGAUGGGGCUGAAGGAAGCAUCUGAAAGACCUUUGUCUGCUGGCAAAAGGGAGAAAAAGCCAACAAAUAGCCUGCUGAGCACAAACAAUGUCAUCAGCUCCAGCAUCAUCAGGCACAGAAGGACAGACCCAGAGGAACAACUCAGAGCUGCCAUGCCCCACACAUCACACACAUCCAUCUGUUCUCCUCGCGCCCCAGAGCAAAUCACUCAGCAUGGCAGGUAAAGCCUCUCUGCAACCUGCACCUGGAGUUUGCACCUGUGCCAUGGGAGCCUCUGCGCAUGAACCAGGAUUCCUCCUUCCCUUCAUUAACUACACAGGUAUUUAAGGGAAACUUGCUCUGAUGGAAGUACCAAUGCAGCUGCUCUGUCCAGUCUCCCACCCUGGAGCAAAACAAGGCUUUGCUGCUGCCCUUGGACUAGACGCCAAGGGAUGCUCCACGUUUCCCUGGUCCAGACCCCUCUUUCUUCGUGAGCCCUCUGCACCUUGCUGUAAUGCAUUAAACCACAGUGCUCCUCACAGCGAUGGCCUGCUUGGAAGAAGAAAACCGGGGUCUUCGUAGGCCAGUGAGUCUCCACCAUGGACUUGCUGUCUCCAUGCUCUCAUUCCCACAGGAAUAUAUAUAUAUAUUUUUUCCUAAGGUGAAGACUUCCCAUUCAAUCUUACUUACAACCAACAAUCCAAACUUCUUCCCAGCCAUGUUUGUGCAGCUAUGCGCCUCUGUCAUGUGGACCAGCUUCAUGAACACGUUUCCUAAUUAAACCUGAAUGGUACAUAAGAAAAUGUCUUCUAUAACUAAUUAUUUCAUGCACAAUCUGAAAACUAGUUAAGAUCGUGUUUAUGGUGUUAUUAGAUGUGUGUUCCUUUUCCAGCGUAGCUGAGAAAGGAAGCAUUUGUCUGAACUAAAGUCGGAUAGGGCUGUCUGCAGCCAUCAGACACACCAUGGCUUUGUCUCUGGCGUCAAAGGAGAUUUAAGGCAAUUCUCUGCCUUCGAUGCUGCCUGGCAACAUUGGGAAGGCUUUUUUUCCUUAUCUGUGAAGCAGUAAGAAGCCAUUAAAUGGUGCAGAGAAGGAAGGAGGGCACAGACAUGACGUCUGUCUAUGCUGGCAGGGAGACUCUGCCUUGACGCUGGGAGGGAGACCACCGAGAUGCGUCCUUGCCACAGGGGAGGCACAGCCAAAGGUUCAACCCACGUGUUUGUACCGAGCAGUGCUUUUGACAUUUGCUUCCCACAAGAUUUUCCUUCUCAUUAGUGCUUGGUUCAUCAUUUUGUGUUACUAACAUGCAUCUUCAAUGUGAAACUAAAAAAAAGAAAAAAAAAAUAUCUGCAGAUCUAUUUAAUGAGA